rnacentral:tRNA from 1 species
GAGUUUAUAAUUUAACGGUAAAAUGAUACUUUGAUAAGGUAUAAAUAUAGGUUCGAUUCCUGUUAAACUCA